CCACCUGACUCCAUUCCGAACUCAGAAGUGAAACGAAAUAGCGCCGAUGGUAGUGUGGGGUUUCCCCAUGUGAGAGUAGGACAUCGCCAGGC
rnacentral:rRNA from 1 species